rnacentral:tRNA from 1 species
GGACAGUAAGCUAACUCGGUAGAAGCGGUGGACCGAAAACCCACAGGAGUUCGUUCGACUCGAACACUGGCCG